rnacentral:rRNA from 1 species
AGAGUUGAUCCUGGCUCAGGAUGAACGCUGGCGGCGUGCCUAACACAUGCAAGUCGAACGAUGAAGCGGGGAUGAAGUUUCGGAUGGAUUUCUGUGGAAGAGUGGCGGACGGGUGAGUAACGCGUGGAUAACCUGCCCCGUACAGGGGGAUAGCAGCGGGAAACUGCUGGUAAUACCGUAUAUGCGCACAACUGUCGCAUGACAGGGUGUGGAAAGUUACGGCGGUACGGGAUGGGUCCGCGUCCGAUUAGCCAGUUGGCGGGGUAAAGGCCCACCAAAGCGACGAUCGGUAGCCGGCCUGAGAGGGCGGACGGCCACAUUGGGACUGAGACACGGCCCAGACUCCUACGGGAGGCAGCAGUGGGGGAUAUUGCACAAUGGGGGAAACCCUGAUGCAGCCGACGCCGCGUGGGUGAAGAAGUAUUUCGGUAUGUAAAGCCCUAUCAGCAGGGACGAUGAUGACGGUACCUGCAGAAGAAGCCCCGGCUAACUACGUGCCAGCCGCUGC